CACCCCUCAAGCCUGGCUUGGUGUUGGGCGACGUCCUCUUCAGGGACGCGCUUCGAAACGUUCGGCGGCGUGGCACCGGCUUUAAGCGUAGCAGAAUCUUUCGCUUUUAAGGUCGAGGCCCCGUCUACCGGAAGACCUAUUCGCAA
rnacentral:misc_RNA from 1 species